UCUCUAUCGAAUUGUCAACACGAGUUGUUGSUGGUCUCCAAAWAGGGGGCACGUGCACGCUCUGUUCACACAUCCACUCACACCUGUGCACCCUCUGUAGUUCCGUGGCAUGGGGGACUCUGUCCUCCUGUUGUGGUCCUACGUCUUUACACACACACUCUGUAACAAAGUCUCAUGGAAUGCAUGACGCGUUUAACGCAAUACAAUACAACUUUCAGCAACGGAUCUCUUGGCUCUCGCAUCGAUGAAGAACGCAGCGAAAUGCGAUAAGUAAUGUGAAUUGCAGAAUUCAGUGAAUCAUCGAAUCUUUGAACGCACCUUGCGCCCUUUGGCUAUUCCGAAGGGCAUGCCUGUUUGAGUAUCGUGAACACCUCAACUCUCAUGGUUUGCCGUGAUGAGCUUGGACUUUGGGGGUCUUGCUGGCCUUUGGUCGGCUCCUCUCAAACGGAUCAGCUUUCCAGUGUUUGGUGGCGUCAUGGGUGUGAUAACUAUCUACGCCUGUGGUUUUCUGCCAGAUAACCUUCAGUGAUGGAGGUUCGCUGGGGCUCAUAAAUGUCUCUCUUCAGUGGAGACAGCUUUUGGACGUUUGAUCUCAAAUCAGGUAGGACUACCCGCUGAACUUAAGCAUAUCAAUAAGCGGAGGAAAAGAAACUAACAAGGAUUCCCCUAGUAAU
rnacentral:rRNA from 1 species